UGCCCUAGAGUGGGGGACAACAGUUGGAAACGACUGCUAAUACCGCAUAAGCCCACGGUGCCGCAUGACACUGAGGGAAAAGGAUUUAUUCGCUUUAGGAUGGACUCGCGUCCAAUUAGCUAGUUGGUGAGGUAACGGCCCACCAAGGCGACGAUUGGUAGCCGGACUGAGAGGUUGAACGGCCACAUUGGGACUGAGACACGGCCCAGACUCCUACGGGAGGCAGCAGUGGGGGAUAUUGCACAAUGGGGGAAACCCUGAUGCAGCGACGCCGCGUGGAGGAAGAAGGUUUUCGGAUUGUAAACUCCUGUCGUUAGGGACGAUAAUGACGGUACCUAACAAGAAAGCACCGGCUAACUACGUGCCAGCAGCCGCGGUAAAACGUAGGGUGCAAGCGUUGUCCGGAAUUACUGGGUGUAAAGGGAGCGCAGGCGGGAAGACAAGUUGGAAGUGAAAACCAUGGGCUCAACCCAUGAAUUGCUUUCAAAACUGUUUUUCUUGAGUAGUGCAGAGGUAGAUGGAAUUCCCGGUGUAGCGGUGGAAUGCGUAGAUAUCGGGAGGAACACCAGUGGCGAAGGCGGUCUACUGGGCACCAACUGACGCUGAGGCUCGAAAGCAUGGGUAGCAAACAGGAUUAGAUACCCUGGUAGUCCAUGCCGUAAACGAUGAUUACUAGGUGUUGGGGGAUUGACCCCCUCAGUGCCGCAG
rnacentral:rRNA from 1 species